rnacentral:misc_RNA from 1 species
AACUGAUACUACCUGCGGGAACCUGCGGAGGGAUCAUUCACAAUAAGUGUUUUAUGGCACUUUAAUUCCAUAUCCACCUUGUGUGCAACGUAGUUCGUUUUUCGAACAAAACAUCAACAUUUUAAUUAUCAACAGAUCGUCUGAAGUAUUAUAUGAAUAAAUCAAUUCAAAAUACAACUUUCAACAAUGGAUCUCU